rnacentral:misc_RNA from 1 species
CAUUCUUUCAUUCUCUUCGAAUAAUUCACUCACCAAGUACACCGUUACGCUUAAUAACGGUCAAACAUGGCUUAUAUAUUCCUCUUCGCAGAUAAAUUUGAGUCACAGCCUUUCUUCCAUUACUUCUGAUGGGUUUUCCGGCAUGAUAAGGGUUGCAAUAUUGCCGGAUUGUGACCCAAAAUAUGAAGCAAUUCUUGAUCGGUUCAGUUCGUGCUAUGCGGUAUCAGGUGAUGCAGUCUUCACUAAACCAUUUUGUUUAGAGUAUAAAUGGGAAAAGAAAGGGUGGGGGGAUUUGCUUAUGCUUGCACAUCCUUUACAUGUCAAGCUUUUAUCGGAUGAAAACGUUAUUGUUUUAAAUGAUUUUAAGUAUAAAAGUAUUGAUGGUGAUCUUGUUGGUGUUGUUGGAGAUUCCUGGGUGUUGAAAUCUGAUCCUAUUUCAGUAACUUGGCAUUCAAUCAAGGGAAUCAAAGAGGAAUCAUGUGCUGAAAUUGUGUCUGCACUUUGUAAGGAUGUUGAGGGUUUGAAUGCAUCAGCUAUAACAACAACGUCAUCUUAUUUUUAU